CCUACGGGAGGCAGCAGUGAGGAAUAUUGGUCAAUGGGCGUAAGCCUGAACCAGCCAAGUCGCGUGGGUGAUGAAGGUUCUAUGGAUCGUAAACCUCUUUUAUAAGGGAAUAAAGUGCGGGACGUGUCCCGUUUUGUAUGUACCUUAUGAAUAAGGAUCGGCUAACUCCUUGCCAGCAGCCGCGGUAAUACGGAGUAUACGAGCGUUAUCCGGAUUUAUUGGGUUUAAAGGGUGCGUAGGCGGCCGUUUAAGUCAGCGGUGAAAGUCUGUGGCUCAACCAUAGAAUUGCCGUUGAAACUGGGAGGCUGGAGUAUGGUUGAGGUAGGCGGAAUGCGUGGUGUAGCGGUGAAAUGCUUAGAUAUCACGCAGAACCCCGAUUGCGAAGGCAGCCUGCUAAGCCAUGACUGACGCUGAUGCACGAAAGCGUGGGGAUCAAACAGGAUUAGAUACCCCUGUAGUC
rnacentral:rRNA from 1 species